rnacentral:rRNA from 1 species
AUGAACGCUAGCUACAGGCUUAACACAUGCAAGUCGAGGGGCAGCAUGGGAUUAGCUUGCUAAUCCUGAUGGCGACCGGCGCACGGGUGCGUAACGCGUAUCCAACCUGCCCUCUACUCCGGAACAGCCCGUCGAAAGGCGGAUUAAUGCCGGAUGGUGUCAGAUGCCCGCAUGGGCGUGUGACUAAAGGCAACGGUAGAGGAUGGGGAUGCGACUGAUUAGCUUGUUGGCGGGGUAACGGCCCACCAAGGCAACGAUCAGUAGGGGUUCUGAGAGGAAGGUCCCCCACAUUGGAACUGAGACACGGUCCAAACUCCUACGGGAGGCAGCAGUGAGGAAUAUUGGUCAAUGGGCGAGAGCCUGAACCAGCCAAGUAGCGUGCGGGACGACGGCCCUAUGGGUUGUAAACCGCUUUUGAUUGGGAACAAAGAGCGCCACGUGUGGUGCGUUGCGUGUACCUUUCGAAUAAGCAUCGGCUAAUUCCGUGCCAGCAGCCGCGGUAAUACGGAAGAUGCGAGCGUUAUCCGGAUUUAUUGGGUUUAAAGGGAGCGUAGGCGGGCUGUUAAGUCAGCGGUCAAAUGUCAGGGCCCAACCUUGGCAUGCCGUUGAUACUGGCGGCCUUGAGUUCACACAAGGAAGGUGGAAUUCGUCGUGUAGCGGUGAAAUGCUUAGAUAUGACGAAGAACUCCGAUUGCGAAGGCAGCCUUCUGGGGUGUUACUGACGCUGAGGCUCGAAAGUGCGGGAAUCAAAUAGGAUUAGAUACCCUGGUAGUCCACACCGUAAACGAUGGAUACUAGGUGUAGGAAAUGAUUUCAUUUUCUGUGCCGUCGCAAACGCAAUAAGUAUCCCACCUGGGGAGUACGGCCGCAAGGUUGAAACUCAAAGGAAUUGACGGGGGCCCGCACAAGCAGUGGAGUAUGUGGUUUAAUUCGAAGCAACGCGAAGAACCUUACCAGGGCUUGACAUAUAGAUGAAUAACUAAGAGAUUAGUUAGUCCUUCGGGACAUCUAUACAGGUGGUGCAUGGUUGUCGUCAGCUCGUGUCGUGAGAUGUUGGGUUAAGUCCCGCAACGAGCGCAACCCUCGCUGUCAGUUGCCAUCAGGUGAUGCUGGGCACUCUGGCGGGACUGCCAUCGCAAGAUGUGAGGAAGGUGGGGAUGACGUCAAAUCAGCACGGCCCUUACGUCCGGGGCUACACACGUGUUACAAUGGGGGGUACAGAGCGUUGCUUUCACGCGAGUGAUUGCGGACCGCGAAAACCCUUCUCAGUUCGGACUGGAGUCUGCAACCCGACUCCACGAAGCUGGAUUCGCUAGUAAUCGCGCAUCAGCCAUGGCGCGGUGAAUACGUUCCCGGGCCUUGUACACACCGCCCGUCAAGCCAUGAAAGCCGGGGGUGCCUGAAGUUCGUCACCGCAAGGGUCGGCCUAGGGCAAAACUGGUGAUUGGGGCU